rnacentral:rRNA from 1 species
AUUGAACGCUGGCGGCAUGCCUUACACAUGCAAGUCGAACGGCAGCGGACCUUCGGGUGCCGGCGAGUGGCGAACGGGUGAGUAAUAUAUCGGAACGUACCUUUCAGUGGGGGAUAACGUAGCGAAAGUUACGCUAAUACCGCAUAUUCUGUGAGCAGGAAAGCAGGGGAUCGCAAGACCUUGCGCUGAUUGAGCGGCCGAUAUCAGAUUAGCUAGUUGGUGAGGUAAAGGCUCACCAAGGCGACGAUCUGUAGCGGGUCUGAGAGGAUGAUCCGCCACACUGGAACUGAGACACGGUCCAGACUCCUACGGGAGGCAGCAGUGGGGAAUUUUGGACAAUGGGCGCAAGCCUGAUCCAGCCAUGCC